GAUGAACGCUGGCGGCGUGCCUAAUACAUGCAAGUCGAGCGAACGGACGAGAAGCUUGCUUCUCUGAUGUUAGCGGCGGACGGGUGAGUAACACGUGGAUAACCUACCUAUAAGACUGGGAUAACUUCGGGAAACCGGAGCUAAUACCGGAUAAUAUUUUGAACCGCAUGGUUCAAAAGUGAAAGACGGUCUUGCUGUCACUUAUAGAUGGAUCCGCGCUGCAUUAGCUAGUUGGUAAGGUAACGGCUUACCAAGGCAACGAUGCAUAGCCGACCUGAGAGGGUGAUCGGCCACACUGGAACUGAGACACGGUCCAGACUCCUACGGGAGGCAGCAGUAGGGAAUCUUCCGCAAUGGGCGAAAGCCUGACGGAGCAACGCCGCGUGAGUGAUGAAGGUCUUCGGAUCGUAAAACUCUGUUAUUAGGGAAGAACAUAUGUGUAAGUAACUGUGCACAUCUUGACGGUACCUAAUCAGAAAGCCACGGCUAACUACGUGCCAGCAGCCGCGGUAAUACGUAGGUGGCAAGCGUUAUCCGGAAUUAUUGGGCGUAAAGCGCGCGUAGGCGGUUUUUUAAGUCUGAUGUGAAAGCCCACGGCUCAACCGUGGAGGGUCAUUGGAAACUGGAAAACUUGAGUGCAGAAGAGGAAAGUGGAAUUCCAUGUGUAGCGGUGAAAUGCGCAGAGAUAUGGAGGAACACCAGUGGCGAAGGCGACUUUCUGGUCUGUAACUGACGCUGAUGUGCGAAAGCGUGGGGAUCAAACAGGAUUAGAUACCCUGGUAGUCCACGCCGUAAACGAUGAGUGCUAAGUGUUAGGGGGUUUCCGCCCCUUAGUGCUGCAGCUAACGCAUUAAGCACUCCGCCUGGGGAGUACGACCGUAAGGUUGAAACUCAAAGGAAUUGACGGGGACCCGCACAAGCGGUGGAGCAUGUGGUUUAAUUCGAAGCAACGCGAAGAACCUUACCAAAUCUUGACAUCCUUUGACAACUCUAGAGAUAGAGCUUUCCCCUUCGGGGGACAAAGUGACAGGUGGUGCAUGGUUGUCGUCAGCUCGUAUCGUGAGAUGUUGGGUUAAGUCCCGCAACGAGCGCAACCCUUAAGCUUAGUUGCCAUCAUUAGGUUGGGCACUCUAAGUUGACUGCCGGUGACAAACCGGAGGAAGGUGGGGAUGACGUCAAAUCAUCAUGCCUCUUAUGAUUUGGGCUACACACGUGCUACAAUGGACAAUACAAAGGGCAGCGAAACCGCGAGGUCAAGCAAAUCCCAUAAAGUUGUUCUCAGUUCGGAUUGUAGUCUGCAACUCGACUACAUGAAGCUGGAAUCGCUAGUAAUCGUAGAUCAGCAUGCUACGGUGAAUACGUUCCCGGGUCU
rnacentral:rRNA from 1 species